rnacentral:rRNA from 1 species
CAGCCGCCACGGUAAUACGAGGGGGGCAAGCGUUGUUCGGAUUUAUUGGGCGUAAAGGGUGCGUAGGCGGUUUGGCAAGUCUUGUGUGAAAUCUUCGGGCUCAACCCGAAGCCUGCACGAGAAACUACCGGGCUUGAGUAUUGGAGAGGUGAGUGGAAUUUCCGGUGUAGCGGUGAAAUGCGUAGAUAUCGGAAGGAACACCUGUGGCGAAAGCGGCUCACUGGACAAUAACUGACGCUGAUGCACGAAAGCUAGGGGAGCAAACAGGAUUAGAUACCCGCGUAGUCCCUGUCUCUUAUAC